UACGUAGGGUGCGAGCGUUGUCCGGAAUUAUUGGGCGUAAAGAGCUUGUAGGCGGUUUGUCGCGUCUGCCGUGAAAAUCCGGGGCUCAACCCCGGACUUGCGGUGGGUACGGGCAGACUAGAGUGUGGUAGGGGAGACUGGAAUUCCUGGUGUAGCGGUGAAAUGCGCAGAUAUCAGGGGGAACACCGAUGGCGAAGGCAGGUCUCUGGGCCACUACUGACGCUGAGGAGCGAAAGCGUGGGGAGCGAACAGG
rnacentral:rRNA from 1 species